rnacentral:rRNA from 1 species
ACUCCUACGGGAGGCAGCAGUGGGGAAUAUUGCACAAUGGGCGCAAGCCUGAUGCAGCAACGCCGUGUGAGUGAAGAAGGUUUUCGGAUCGUAAAACUCUGUCCUAAAGGGAAAGAAAAAAUGACGGUACCUUAGGAGGAAGCCCCGGCUAACUACGUGCCAGCAGCCGCGGUAAUACGGUAGGGGGCAAGCGUUAUCCGGAAUCACUGGGCGUAAAGGGUGCGUAGGCGGCUUAGCAAGCCAGGGGUGAAAGGCAUUGGCUCAACCAAUGUAAGCCUUUGGAACUGUUAAGCUUGAGUGCAGGAGAGGUAAGUGGAAUUUCCUAGUGUAAAGGUGAAAUUCGUAGAUAUUAGGAGGAACACCAGUGGCGAAGGCGACUUACUGGACUGUAACUGACGCUGAUGCACGAAAGCGUGGGUAGCGAACAGGAUUAGAUACCCUGGUAGGAUAGCG